rnacentral:rRNA from 1 species
AUUGAACGCUGGCGGCAGGCCUAACACAUGCAAGUCGAGCGGAUGAAGGGAGCUUGCUCCUGGAUUCAGCGGCGGACGGGUGAGUAAUGCCUAGGAAUCUGCCUGGUAGUGGGGGAUAACGUCCGGAAACGGGCGCUAAUACCGCAUACGUCCUGAGGGAGAAAGUGGGGGAUCUUCGGACCUCACGCCAUCAGAUGAGCCUAGGUCGGAUUAGCUAGUUGGUGGGGUAAAGGCCUACCAAGGCGACGAUCCGUAACUGGUCUGAGAGGAUGAUCAGUCACACUGGAACUGAGACACGGUCCAGACUCCUACGGGAGGCAGCAGUGGGGAAUAUUGGACAAUGGGCGAAAGCCUGAUCCAGCCAUGCCGCGUGUGUGAAGAAGGUCUUCGGAUUGUAAAGCACUUUAAGUUGGGAGGAAGGGCAGUAAGUUAAUACCUUGCUGUUUUGACGUUACCAACAGAAUAAGCACCGGCUAACCUCGUG